UACGUAGGGGGCUAGCGUUGUCCGGAAUCAUUGGGCGUAAAGCGCGUGUAGGCGGCCCGGUAAGUCCGCUCUGAAAGUCGGGGGCUCAACCCUCGGAUGCGGGUGGAUACUGUCGGGCUUGAGUGCGGAAGAGGCGAGUGGAAUUCCUGGUGUAGCGGUGGAAUGCGCAGAUAUCAGGAGGAACACCGAUAGCGAAGGCAGCUCGCUGGGACGGUACUGACGCUGAGGCGCGAAAGCGUGGGGAGCGAACAGG
rnacentral:rRNA from 1 species